UGACACAGAGUCAUUUUUUUUUUUUUCCUCGUCGCCUUUCAUCGAUGAACUUGCACCGUUCGUUCUCAACUUGUUCUCUUACAAUUUUCUCUUUCAACACCCUCUCUUUCGUGAAUUCUCGUUUGCAUUCACGUACUUGGAAAACGUACCCGGCAACUGCAUCGUCCAAGGUGGGAAGUACAAACUUCACUUCAAAGAUCAAACGUUACCACGCAACGUUUCCACGUUGGUGUUGCUUGGUUCCUUGCUUCUCGACUCGAAAGCAAUUUAAUUACACAAGACAACAAAUGUUCCAUAGGCUUUGACAAAGGUCGUUUCGGCCAAUGAAAGAAGGAAAAGAAAGAUGAAGAAUAACUUCGUUUAUUACAAUCGAUACAAUAGUAUUCCAGGAUUCGGAAAUUUCAAAGAUUAUGUCAGAAUGUCUGCCAAUCCUUUGCGAACAUUCGAAAGAUUGUUACAGUCGAAAGAUUAUAAGCCUGCUGGUAGAAUGACACACAGCCAUGAUACUGCGACAAUUUAGUCAAGCGGGCGAAACGUCUUGAAACAUUCUUUUCAAGAAAACGCCUGCCCAUCAUCUUUUGUUUAUGAGAAUCCCGCGCUCGCAAUGUCAACCUAUGAUAUGUACUAUAUACGUAUUUCUAUUUUCCGUUCACUUAUUAUAAGUGAAGUUAUAGAGGGGGAGAGGGAGAGAGAGAAAGGGGGAGGGAGGGGGGAGAGAGAGAGAGAGAGAGAGAGAGAGAGAGGACAAAGAAAGUACAGCUUAUGAAUGUAAUUACUUACUUACAAGAAUCGAAUGUUUGCGCGCGCGCGGUGUGUAUGAGAUAUUGAAAGAAAAGGUGUGAAA